GUGUUUGCUUUGGCAGCACAUAAUCUAAAACUGGAACGAUACAGAGAAGACUGGCAUGGCCCCUGCUCAAGGAUGACAUGCAAGAAAAAGAAAAAUUAUAUGAACCU